rnacentral:lncRNA from 1 species
UUCUCUCUUCUGCACAGCGUCCUCAAGCCAAUUUUCUCCCCUCUUCCUCGCGCAAAACUGAAAACUCAGCGCCCACAACCCAAAUUUCUUGCCAAAUCCGAACUCUCCUCCAAUCAAACCUGAAAACCCAGAAAAACCUCAGCCCACCAUCCCCAUCUCGCUUCGACAAAUACAAAAGAACCUCAUCCCCCAUCUCUGUGAAACACAUAACCCAUCUCAAUUACUUUUUCAAACCAUAGAUCCAAACCAGCCAAACCAUCUCAAUCCCUCUCAUGCUUCGUGUUGGUGUUGCAAUUGAGAAUAUUUCAUCGGUCUCAAUCCCUAUUGUUGGGAGUUUAUGGGUUUUCGUGGAUUUGAGAAGGAGAUGAUGGGAGAGUUGGGAAACGAAAGGCUAAUCUCCAGUUGAUAAGUGUAGCAAAGGAAAGGCCAAGC